UAAUAAGCUCCUGUGGGGAUGUAAAUGUGU
rnacentral:piRNA from 2 species